rnacentral:lncRNA from 1 species
AUGGCGGAUCGGCACAUUCCUGAAGACUCUCCAGUCAUCGGAGCCAGAAGCAAAGAGAAUACAUGUGCCUUCCCUGCUCAUGAUGCGCGGGCGAAGGGUGUCUCUCCUCCUCCAGUAGGAGACGGGCAGCCGCGUCAAGGAGGGGUGGUGGUUGCUGCUGCUGCUGCUGCUGCUGCUGGCAUUGUAGACGAAGUAGUCGAUGGCGGAAGGGCGAGCGUACUUGUCGGGGGAGAUGAUCUGGAACAGGACGACGUUGUCGUGCGCGGCGAUGACGAUGUGGUUCCCGCCGACGGGCGGGGCCCCUGCGGCCAGUCGAGGGUGAGGAGGGAGGUCUCCGGCGGCUUCACGAGCUCGAAGGAGACGGAGAUCUGGAUCGCCCAGGUUGAGGCUGGAUUGGAGGCGCCCGCGUCGUCCAACGAUAGGGUUAAGGAGGAUCGCUUCGGCGGCCGCCCGGGAAUCUCCGUUUCCUUGGUCGGCGUUGGUCCGCGACGGGAUGCGUCGGUCCGGUGUACGGCCCGCGAACCGUCGGACGAUCCCUUGCGCCGCCUGUGGCUGCGUGUCCCCGUCCCCGUCUCCGUCUCCGUCGUGGGGAUCCGCAUGGCGGCGGCGGCGGCGAGGGUUUGGUGUUUGGUGUUUGGUGCGCGAAGGGGAAAACAAAGGCGAGACGAAGAUAAACUACUCUUGACUCUUGAGUGCAACCCGAUACGGAUACGGGUGACCCAAGUGCCAACGCAAUUGCUGGGCCUGGCUGGGAGGCUGGGAGAGUCCGAGUCGUGUAGUUCACUUUUGGUUCCUUCUAUUUGUCGCUUAAUCCGAUUUUCAUCACUUCAUCGCAAAACCGGCAUAACAGGUCUCCCAGCAUACAAAACCGUUUAAAUAAGAUCCC